UAGGGAAUCUUCCACAAUGGGCGCAAGCCUGAUGGAGCAACACCGCGUGAGUGAAGAAGGGUUUCGGCUCGUAAAGCUCUGUUGUUAGAGAAGAACGUGCGUGAGAGCAACUGUUCACGCAGUGACGGUAUCUAACCAGAAAGUCACGGCUAACUACGUGUCAG
rnacentral:rRNA from 1 species